rnacentral:rRNA from 1 species
GACGAACGCUGGCGGCGUGCUUAACACAUGCAGGUCGAACGCUGAAGCUCAGCUUUUGUUGGGUGGAUGAGUGGCGAACGGGUGAGUAACACGUGAGUAACCUGCCCCCUUCUUUGGGAUAACGCCCGGAAACGGGUGCUAAUACUGGAUAUUCACUGGUCUUCGCAUGGGGGGUGGUGGAAAGGGUUUUUCUGGUGGGGGAUGGGCCCGCGGCCUAUCAGCUUGUUGGUGGGGUGAUGGCCUACCAAGGCUUUGACGGGUAGCCGGCCUGAGAGGGUGACCGGUCACAUUGGGACUGAGAUACGGCCCAGACUCCUACGGGAGGCAGCAGUGGGGAAUAUUGCACAAUGGGCGCAAGCCUGAUGCAGCGACGCCGCGUGAGGGAUGGAGGCCUUCGGGUUGUGAACCUCUUUCGCUCAUGGUCAAGCCGCAACAAUGGUUGUGGUGAGGGUAGUGGGUAAAGAAGCGCCGGCUAACUACGUG